rnacentral:rRNA from 1 species
AACGAACGCUGGCGGCAGGCUUAACACAUGCAAGUCGAACGGGUGCAGCAAUGCAUCAGUGGCAGACGGGUGAGUAACACGUGGGAACCCUUCCUAGGGGUACGGAACAACUCAGGGAAACUUGAGCUAAUACCGUAUACGUCCGUGAGGAGAAAGAUUUAUCGCCCUUAGACGGGCCCGCGUCGGAUUAGCUAGUUGGUGGGGUAACGGCCUACCAAGGCGACGAUCCGUAGCUGAUCUUAGAGGAUGAUCAGCCACACUGGGACUGAGACACGGCCCAGACUCCUACGGGAGGCAGCAGUGGGGAAUCUUGGACAAUGGGCGGCAAGCCUGAUCCAGCCAUGCCGCGUGAGUGAAGAAGGUCUUCGGAUUGUAA